rnacentral:rRNA from 1 species
UACGUAGGUGGCAAGCGUUGUCCGGAUUUACUGGGCGUAAAGGGCGUGCAGGCGGUCUGUUAAGUUCAGGGUGAAAGCUCCCGGCUCAACUGGGAGAGGUCCUUGGAUACUGGCAGACUUGAGGGAGGUAGAGGAGAGUGGAAUUCCCGGUGUAGUGGUGAUAUGCGUAGAUAUCGGAAGGAACACCUGUGGCGAAAGCGGCUCACUGGACCACAACUGACGCUGAUGCACGAAAGCUAGGGGAGCAAACAGG